rnacentral:rRNA from 1 species
GAGUUUGAUCCUGGCUCAGAACGAACGCUGGCGGCAGGCCUAACACAUGCAAGUCGAGCGCACCUUCGGGUGAGCGGCGGACGGGUUAGUAACGCGUGGGAACGUACCCUUUUCUACGGAAUAGCCUUUGGAAACGAAGAGUAAUACCGUAUACGCCCUUUGGGGGAAAGAUUUAUCGGAGAAGGAUCGGCCCGCGUUAGAUUAGAUAGUUGGUGGGGUAACGGCCUACCAAGUCUACGAUCUAUAGCUGGUUUUAGAGGAUGAUCAGCAACACUGGGACUGAGACACGGCCCAGACUCCUACGGGAGGCAGCAGUGGGGAAUCUUAGACAAUGGGCGCAAGCCUGAUCUAGCCAUGCCGCGUGAGUGAUGAAGGCCUUAGGGUCGUAAAGCUCUUUCGCCUGUGGUGAUAAUGACAGUAGCAGGUAAAGAAACCCCGGCUAACUCCGUGCCAGCAGCCGCGGUAAUACGGAGGGGGUUAGCGUUGUUCGGAAUUACUGGGCGUAAAGCGCACGUAGGCGGAUUGGAAAGUUGGGGGUGAAAUCCCGGGGCUCAACCCCGGAACUGCCUCCAAAACUAUCAGCCUAGAGUUCGAGAGAGGUGAGUGGAAUUCCAAGUGUAGAGGUGAAAUUCGUAGAUAUUUGGAGGAACACCAGUGGCGAAGGCGGCUUCACUGGCUCGAUACUGACGCUGAGGUGCG